AUUGAACGCUGGCGGCAUGCCUUACACAUGCAAGUCGAACGGUAACAGGUCUUCGGAUGCUGACGAGUGGCGAACGGGUGAGUAAUACAUCGGAACGUGCCCGAUCGUGGGGGAUAACGAGGCGAAAGCUUUGCUAAUACCGCAUACGAUCUACGGAUGAGAGCGGGGGUUCUUCGGACCUCGCGCGGACGGAGCGGCCGAUGGCAGAUUAGGUAGUUGGUGGGAUAAAAGCUUUCCAAGCCGACGAUCUGUAGCUGGUCUGAGAGGAUGAUCAGCCACACUGGGACUGAGACACGGCCCAGACUCCUACGGGAGGCCGCAGUGUGGAAUUUUGGACAAAGGGCGAAAGCCUGAUCCAGCCAUGCCGCGUGCAGGAUGAAGGCCUUCGGGUUGUAAACUGCGUCUGUACGGAACGAAAAGCCUCUUUCUAAUAAAGAGGGGUCAUGACGGUACCGUAAGAAUAAGCACCGGCUAACUACGUG
rnacentral:rRNA from 1 species